rnacentral:lncRNA from 1 species
CAAUCAGGGCGCGGGGGCCCGGAACACCGUCCAAUCAGGCGCGGGGGCGGGCGCGCUUGCGGCCGCGUGGACGUGGCUCCGGGCAGGUCCCGGGGGUUCCUGCGCACCUGCCCGCGCGGACCCAGGUGUCCUCCUCUCACCUGCCCGGCCCUCGGGCCCGCGGGGAAGACGUCUUCCCCGGAGAGCUCGGAGCCGAGCCCCGACAUGUGCUGCAGCCCCAGUGCCCGCAGGCUCUAGGACCCAAGUAACCGCGACCUGAAUACAGUUCUCUCCGCGAAAGAGCCAGAGGUGAGGUCCUCAGACAGAGCGGUCCUGCAGGGACACGGGGCUCUGCCACGAGCAGGAGCGUGAGGGCAUGAGGGCAAUAGGAGAGGUUCCUGUUGCCUACUCGCCUUAGUGCCCGGCAGAAGUCAGUGCAUUCUUCCCACCACACUGGGAAACAGCAGUCACAACAGAGAAACCACCACACGGUGUGUGUACGGGUGUAGGCGUUGGAGGAGUUUCGGGGAUGUUACCGACCGUCCUGCAUUUCCUCUGCCGUGAGCCAGUUUUAAUAAUACCUGCUUUGCGGAGUUUUUAAGAAUAUCCGAGCUGAUGCAUACGAGGCUUUUGGCAGAAUCUUUUGCAUAUACUGGGUUCUGCAUGGCGCUUAAAAAAUUAAUUUCAUAAAGGUGGUGGAUUUGAGCCAGGUGUGCUGGGAGUCCCUGUCUCCGUCUGCUGGGGCCGCUGUAACAAAAAUGCCAUAGACCAGGGGCGCCCGGGUGGCUCAGUCGGUUGAAC